GUUCAGUCCCCAGUACCAGGAAAAAAAAAAAAGUCUGAAAACCAAACUGGGGGGACUAAUCGGGAUUGUCAAUUUCUGUGGUGUCAAAACUCCCACCAUGGUCAAUGUCUGAUGUCACUGAAGUAAGCCUUAGGAAGUUACAAGCUGCCGCAAGCUGGCCCCAGCAUACCAAUGUGGCCAUGCCUGCUCCCAGCUUAAAAUCUCCUCAGUCUUCCCAAAAUGAGACAGAAUGCAGUUCUAGUCUUUGCUUGACACUUUUUAAAGCCUUACAACUUGAAAGCACCUUCCCCAGCAAGAUGUUUCCCUGGGCCCCUUGCACUGUUUAUAUUGAACCACAUAUGCAUUCUAGAUACAUCACGCAUACUCAGUCCUCUCAACUUUCUUCAUAUUGCCCUCUCUGCUUUGGAUAUAUUUCUUCUUGAUCUGUAUCUUUAGCCCUGGACAGAAAAGCCCCAAGCCACACAAAGCCCAGCUGUACAAAGCCCUCUGGUACUCUCAGGGACUGUUGUACUCAGGGAUUCAUUCAUUGACUUUUUUCUGGCUUGACCAGAACUCUGCUCUCUUUGUGCUACAGAGCUAAUAACAAAUUCAAACCCAAGAAGUUACCACCAGCGACAGUGGUGGCUCUACCUGAGCCCCUGAAAGAAGCCACGGGCUCCAUCAAUAGAUGCCUCCAUGAGGGAAAGCUUGUUGUGUGCUAUGUAACAUGUUGCAGUUAAGAUCGACACAAGUCUUCAGGUUUAAACGUUCUUUCCAGUCCACAGAGUGCUUCCAUGUGCAUUUUUCCACUUGAUCUUUUCAACCUCAUAAGGUAUGUUAUGUAUACUCUGAUCCCCAUUUUAAAGAUGAAGAAAGUAGGCUUCAAGGAGAUACAUGGUUUGUAUACAAGUGAGUUAUUGGUAAACUAAGGAAUGAAGACUUCAACCCAUGUUUUCUUUCUUUCUUUUUGUUUUCUGGUACCAGGAAUCAAACUCAGGACUUUGCACUUCCCAGGCAGGCACAGUGCCACUGAGCUACAUCUCUGACCCUCAACCCAUGUUUUCUACCCCUGAGUUCUUUGUUCUUUCACCUUGAUCCACUAUAAUGCAUUCACCUGGAGCUGGGAGGGUGGAUGCUGGGAAUGACCUCACUCAUGACAGGGAGAUCUAAACUUUUUCAAGCCAAAGAGAGGGCCAGUGAGACUUCUAGGAGGCCAGUGGACAGAGGCCAGCUUGCAGCCUAGAGCAAGUCCUUGGGGACCCAAGAGACCAGGGCCACCAUGUUUAGGCCUGAGGGCAGGACUCACAAGGGCAGCCCACAUGCAGAGCAGAAAUGUAGGCACCUUGAGGGCCUCUCCAUAAAUAUGGAUGCAAGACAUAGUCCAACUUGUUCUACUACCAGCUGAAGUUAAACUAGCUUCAUUUAGGAGCCAGCCUGGAGUGGAUUGGGGCAGCAGGUUCCCCAGAAACAACUUCUGAAUUCCUGAACAAACAUUUCAGCAAGGCAAAGGAACACUGGCCCAUUCUCUUCCAACUGAAGACCAAAUUCCAUGAAGAGCACAUGUUUUCAAGGUAUUUUUAUGACUAUGGCUUUACAACUAGUUAUCUGUAUUCCUCUGGUUAACAGAAGUCAAGUGUGUGUGUGUGUGUGUGUGUGUGUGUGUGUAGUGUGUGUGUGUUAGUGGGGACUGAACAAAAGGCUUUGACCCUGAGUUUUAUCCUGAGGAAAGAUACACAAGUCUUGUACUCUGCCAGAGGGCUAAAGAAAAGGCACCCCAAGAAGAGGACACGCUGAUGCAUCUGGAAAGAAAGACGUAUUCUCGAGACCUAAAGGAGAAGGGAAACAUAAAGGAGCGGUUCACACAGAAACCUGACCACAGAUAAACUGCUCCUGUGACCCUGGUGCUCAAGGACAAACAGACUGCAAACUGUGCUGUUUUCCAGAAAAAAUCCUUUGAGCUUUCUGCCUCCCUAUCUCUGCCCUUCUCUUCACCUCCCCCACACACCCCAUCCAACUUCAUUUGCCCUUAGCCCCAGGAAAAACUGGUUUAUGGAGGAAACUAUUAUCUUGUUUUUUCCAAUUGGAAAAAAUAAAAAUAGUCCUAACCAAGAACUCCGGUCAUCCACUAACUCACCAUUGGCCCUCAGGGAUGGGGAAGAAAUAACAGCAUUGACUGGAGUCCGAGGCAGGAUGGCAAGGGGUAACAGCUUGACCUGUUCAUGGGACCAUUUUCAUACAGGGUUAAAUGCCUCAACUUCCUGCCAAGCCCUGUGACAACUUCCUGACAAGGCAUGGUCACUUUUCCAAUAAUACUGAACAAAAGAAAAGCAAGAACCUGAAAUCACUGGCCAAAGAAGUUAAGAGACAUGGAGUGCAAAGUCACUGAGGUGUUUAGCAGCACUGCAAAGAGUAAAAGUCAAGUCAGAAGAGCUCUUCCCACCAAGCCUGCUGGCCCUGGGUACAAGAAUGUAAACUUCCAGGGGGUGGAGAAGUGUCCUCUACAGAGCCCAUUCCUGUACUGCCCAAGCGAAACCGAAGAUUCAUGAAGCUGUAUUACAGAGAAUUCAGCACCAGGACAGAUAUGCACUUAGCCUGAACUCAUGGGUUUAGAGUUGUCUGCAUAGCAGGGCUGGUUACUGGUCUACCCCACUCCUUGAUCCAUGGGAAGGGGGAUCAGGUUCCAAAGUGCAUCAGGAAAUACUACAACAAAAUACAGGUGUCUUGGAUGAUCACACACACACGUCCCUGACCACGCUCUGGACCACUGUCUUCACAUCUACCCAGUGCAAAUGACUCAACAAAGAUGUCCUGCAGUGACAAACAGCCCAAACUCAGGGAGUGACUUCAGAUCAGAUAAGCCAGAGUGGUGCCAAUGUGACAGUACCUCUGUCCUUUAAGUUUAUAGGUGAGGUGGAGGGAGGGGGGUAACCAGAAAGUGAGCACCUACCAUGUAUCAGAUACCUGGAGAGCCACUUUACCUUUAUUAUUUCAUCUUUGAACCCAUCUCCAAGGUAGGUAUUAUCAGGAGCACCUAUUUAUGUAGGGGGAAACUGAUGAUGCAAAGCAGACUGAGGGAAGGAAACUGCUUGCAGGCUGGAAUUUUACACGGGAGAAGCAGGCUAGAAAUUAGAAAUAAAAGUCCUAUGCAGCUGCUGGGAAGUCAUCCCCACCGUCCACACCCAGGCCUAAGGUACGGAUCCGUGAGGAGCUGUAGGAGCAUGGGCUAUCAUCAAGAUUAGAUGCAGCUGAGUGUGGUGGUAUACCGGUGAUCCCAGCUAUUCAGGAGGCUGAGUUAGGAUCACAGGUUCAA